rnacentral:rRNA from 1 species
GCAAGAUUAAAACUCAAAGGAAUUGACGGGGACCCGCACAAGCGGUGGAUGAUGUGGAUUAAUUCGAUGCAACGCGAAAAACCUUACCUACCCUUGACAUGGCUGGAAUCCUCGAGAGAUUGAGGAGUGCUCGAAAGAGAACCAGUACACAGGUGCUGCAUGGCUGUCGUCAGCUCGUGUCGUGAGAUGUUGGGUUAAGUCCCGCAACGAGCGCAACCCUUGU